ensembl:lncRNA
CCUGUGCUGAGAUGACAGGGGGAGCUGGUGCAGCAGAGGAGACCCAGCCUGGGGCUGAGACUCCAGGGAAAGGGAGGGAGGAAGAGAGGAGAAGGGAGGGGAGAGAGGAUGGGAGAAAGGAAAUGGAGGAAGGGUGAACUUAGGAGGUUCCAUGUGCACCCCUCCCAUUCCACCUUCUAGCAUUUGGGACUGAGAAAUCAGCAGAUCUAGGUUUGGAACUUGCCACUGCUGUUUGCUGUGUGAGUCUGGGCAUGUCAAGAAACCUCUCUGAGCUCAGAGUGUAUCGUCUUUAGAAUGAAAAUAAUUGCUAAUUGCUGUCUGGUAGAACUAUUUUGAGGUAUGUCAAUAACAUGCAUAAAGCACUUGUCACAGAGUAGCUACACUGUAGCAAUUGUGAUUAGCUCCACCCCCACGCUCAGGAGGGUUCUUGCCAGUCUUCUGUUGCUUCAUAGCUCCAUCCUUUGGUUGUCACAGGCUCAUGACAGGUGUCUAUCCCUCCCACUCCAGAGUGCUGAGGAGGGGAUCGCAGAGGCAUGAUUGCUGCCAGUACCAGUCUGGCACCAAGGGUGGCACCGUUAGGUUCCAGCAGCCUCCCGUCACAGUGGGUAGGGCCAGAGGAGAAGAGGCCAGCACUGUCACUUGAAACACAAGGAAUCGCAGGCCCAGACAGGAAACUGUCUAGCCCAAGGUCAUCCAGCAAAUUGCUGGCAGGUCGUUUUACCCAUUUUAGCAGAUGGCUAAAGCCCGCCUCUCGUAUUUAUUUUAAGCCUAUCUUUUUAAUGACUGAGAACCAGGAGAUGACGCCAAUGGUGACACUGACGAGGCAGAGGAGGAAAAGGAUUGGCAGCAUGGAGCUCCAGUUACAGGCCCGCCCAGCCCAUCUCCUCAAGGCACUCCUGUGAGCUGCAAAGGACAAGAGCUUCCUUUCUGGCUUCUACCCUCAAAGAACUCAGCACUUUGCAGUUGAUUACUCCACAGCCCUUUGAUUUGUGAGAGAAACUGGCAGCAGGGCUGUCCCCGACCACCAGCAGAAUUAGAGGUCUGACUUCAGGUGAGCAAAGCUCCUUCCACCUCUCUCCUUCUCUUUUUUUCCUUUCCCGCCUCCUCUUCUGGCUUGUUUUGAAGCUUAUUUUUAACAAGGGAUUGGAAACUUCAGAUGCAGCAAGGCUCUGGGACAACAGGAGGUGUGGGUUUGAUGCUGACUGGCUGGAGGAGGUGUGGCCUGGAAGCAGAUGGAGAUUAAUGCUAAUGUCGCUCAGCAUUGACUGAGCACCUACUGAAUGCAGACAUCUGGCUUGGUGCCUGCAGCUGUUUUCUAUUCCCCAACGCUCUUUGAGGGAGACUGUUCAUUUUACAAGCAGGGAAACAAAGGCACAUGGAGGUUUAGAAAGGCCCCAGGUCACACAGCAAGGAAUGGGGCGCACUCCAGAGCCCAGAUCAUUGCCACUACCUGGGCUGGGAUGUCAGAAGUUACAAGGGACUUCCCAGCCCUGUCCCUCUGUGAGAUCACAGCAUAGGAGCUCUGCCGUCCCCACUCCCAGACACAUUUCUGGAUGCUUAGAGGUGUGUCUCCCAAACCCAAGCUCACCCUUCUGGUGGCCCAGAAGCGGCUCCUUUCCUCCUUUGCUGUCCUUAUCCUGAGUAACGUGGGAUUUUAAAAUGGGAAAGACAAUGACCUAGCUCUGGGUGGCUCUUGUGUGACCAGGAGAAGAAAACCCUAGUCUAGGAACUUCCAGGGUCCUCACUCUGGCCCAAUCUGGGGCUAUGAGAAGGCUUUCCGAGGAGGCGACCACUAGCUUCCUUUACUCCUGCAGGAGCAGCCCUGUGAGGGGACAGUGUGGUGCAGUGGAGGGAGCCUGUCUUUGGCGUCUAACUGAUCAGGUGGCCCUCCUCCUGCUACACACAGGAGAAAAUCCAGAGCUUCCACUAAGGGUGGCCAGGCCCUUUCUGAUCUGGGUCUAACCACCAGCUCAACCCUCUUCUUGCUCUGGGUGCCAGCAACACUGAGCCCAGACACCAAAUCCUUUCCCUUCUCAGGGCCUCUGACAUGCUGUUUCCUCUUCCUGGAACGCUCUUGCCUUCUUCUUGUCUGCUUGGUUCCUUUUCAUCCUUUGGGCCUCAGAGAGGCUGCAUAGUCCUGAUCCACCUAUCUGUGCUCCGCUCCCACCCACUAUUUAAUCCGCAGCACUUGUAACUGACUUUGCCAGUGCUGUGAGGACAGGAAUAAGGCCUUCCCUUUACAUCUUUGCAUCCAAGUGCCUACCGUUAGCCUGAGCCCAGCCUAGACCACAGUAAGUACCAAUUAACAAAUAAUUGUAAUUAACUGCACUGGAAUCUCAGUUUCUUCCUUUGUGAAGUGAGCAUAGUAACGUCUACUUUCUAAGGAUGGUGAGAAGUUGAAAUAAGUAAUAGUGACAAUUAAUAUUAAUUCUGGUCAAGUCCAACUAAGCAUUGCUGGUGCACUUACAUAUCUUAAAAACUUGCAAUGAGGAAACUGAGACUCUGAGAGGUGGCCUAAGAUCAGCUCCUAGGAAAGCUGACCAUCAGGGGGUCUGGGGCUCACUUCGGCCUUUGUCCAUGCCUUCUGCUGUCCCUGGGAUGAUCAUAUAGCCUCUCUUGGCCUCAGUGUUUUUAAUAUGGAGAAUGGGACCAGCGACGCAAGACCUCAGGGAGACUACAAGACCUCAGAGGGAUGAGCAAGGCGUAGAGACACUUCCACAUGGAACAGAGAGCUAACCCGGAAGCCCCACCUUCAUGGACCACUCAGGGCUCAUCCUCUCUGUCAGCUGACCCUCUCCCAUUGCCCUUCAGCAGACUUCCCUCCCUACCUAAGGACAUUUGCAUGAGCAGAGCAUCUCCAGCGACUGCAUUCCCGCCACCUGCUCAUGUGUCUCUCUCCCCACCUGAAGCCACAAAUACAUAUGCAAAGGCCAGUUUAUUAAUUUGUGUUUGAGCGCAGAGCGGGGGACACCACCGAGAAAGGGGAUUAGGCAGCAGUGGUGGGAGACAACAGAUGGCUUGAUUGCUUUUACCUGUUGCUAAUUUGUUAGGCAACAAUCCCUUGUUUGUGUUUAAUUGUGCCCAGAUUUUGCGGUGGCAGGGCACCACGCACUUGAAGGCACUUGGGUGCCUUCUUGGGGUGAAGGGUGAGGUGGCCUGCCUGGGAAUUAAAUACCAGAAUCUAGAAAUGCAUGUCUUUCUUGCCCUAACUCUGAUCCUCUCUUCAACUGGACACUCAGAGUCCUCUGGAUUAUAUUAGCAGCAAGGAGGGUGCUGAGGCAGGAGGUGGCAGGGCGGGCUCUCUCAUUCACCAGCUGUGUGACCUUCUGUAGGUCGCUUAGCAUCUCUGGGCCCCAUUUGCUCAGCUGGGAAAUGUGCAUCAUCACACCUGCCCUAUCUACUUUGCAGGGUUGCUGUGUGAACUGAGAUAAUGGAUCUGAGAGCACUCUGACAUGUAUAAUGCUCUAUUAUAGUGAGGCAUUAUUUGCUAGCAGAGCAGUUAAGUGCUUAGAUUCUGGAGUCAGCUAGGCCUGGACUGAAUUCCAGCUGAGCCACUGACACCUGUGUGGUCUUGGGUAAGAAACUUCAGCUUUCUGCACCUCAGUUUCCUUCCCUCUACAAUGGGGUGCUAACAGUCCCUGCCUCAACAGGUUGCUCGGAGGAGGGAAUGUGUUAAAGCGUGGGGCAGGCUCAGCUCAGCUUUUUUAGAAUGUGCGUGUCCUCCCAGUGAGCUGUCAUUAGGAUUCCGUGGCUCCCCUUUGCAGCCUUGGUUUAAGACUUGCUGUUCUGUAAAGCCUGCUGUCAUCUGUGUCCCCCUGCCCCAACCUUCCUGAUGCUCUCUUCUCUGUAUCACCCUUCUGGUAGAAAUGUGUUGGGGGAUUACUUCUUCCCCAUCAGCUAUAAUCUGAUAGGAUGUUAACCUGGAGCCUGUGAUUCUGUCACCAAAAGGACAGCAAGUGAACAAGCAUAGCUGCCUUCUGGAGUUAGGAAGGAGGCAUCAAGCCUCUGAAAUACAGGGAGCUCAUGUCCCCAUAGCACAGGGCCCAGGACAAAGAGGUCUUGAUUUCUCUGUUUUC